rnacentral:lncRNA from 1 species
CCUUUGGUGAAGGCGAUGCCGUCGAUGUCGGCGGGCCGCAGCCCCGCAUCUCCGAGCGCCGCCUCCACCAACCCGAGCAGCUUCUCGCGGUGAUGGCGGCUGACCGGGCCGGGUGCGAAGCCGUGUCCCGGCGGGGUGACGUACGUCGCCCUGCGGUUGCUCAGCACCCGGCCGUCCCGCACCACUCCGGCGCCCACUUUGUUAGCGGAGCCCUCCAGGCCCAGCACCGUCGGCAUGGCUGCCGCUCCUCCGCUCCGGGGCCGCUU